rnacentral:lncRNA from 1 species
CAGAGGAUGGAAACGGAAGAAGAGAUGACAACAACGUCACACACUUAAAUACAUUCUCAUUUACGUGUACGUGCCAAAGGUGGAUGUCAGUCCAUGUACUUCUUCAUGUACAUCCAUGUCAGAUGUACUUCUUCAGGAAGUACUCAGUAUUUGCUGCGGUGCAGAGGAUUCCAGUUGCCGUAAUUUUCAGUGGAAAGAAUAAUGAUCACAGGGAACUGUAAGUAGGUUAUUAUGGACUAUCUAUGUAUUUAAAUAGAAAAUCAAAAAUUUUCAAGAGUAAUGAUGCAAAGAUGUGCCAGACUUGAAACUCUGCUGCAGACCUGAUAGAAGAUGUUCUGUAAGUGCUGGAAAUUG